GACGAACGCUGGCGGCGGGCUUAACACAUGCGAGUCGAACGGAAAGGUCCUGCUUUUGGGGGGUGGUGGAGGGGCGAACGGGUGAGUAACACGUGAGUUACGUGUCCUUGACUUUGGGUUAACUUCAGGAAACUGGGGCUAAUACCGGAUAGGAGUUCUUGCUGCUUGGUGGGGGUUGGUAAGUUUCGGUGGUUGGGGAUGGACUCGCGGCUUAUCAGCUUGGUGGUGGGGUAGUGGCUUACCAUGGCUUUGACGGGUAGCAGGCCUGGGAGGGUGACCGGCCACAUUAGGACGGAGAUACGGCCCAGACUCCUACGGGAGGGAGCGGUGGGGAAUGGUACACAGUGGGCGGAAGCCUGAUGCAGCAACGCCGCGUGCGGGAAGACGGCCUUCGGGUUGGAAACCGCUUUCGCCUGUGACGAAGCGUGAGUGACGGUAAUGGGUAAAGAAGCACCGGCUAACUACGUG
rnacentral:rRNA from 1 species